rnacentral:rRNA from 1 species
UACGGAGGGUGCAAACGUUGCUCGGAAUUAUUGGGCGUAAAGCGCACGUAGGCGGUCCAGCAAGUCGGGUGUGAAAAGCCCUCGGCUUAACCGAGGAAGUGCAUUCGAAACUACUGGACUUGAAUACUGAAGAGGAUCGCGGAAUUCCCGGUGUAGAGGUGAAAUUCGUAGAUAUCGGGAGGAACACCAGUGGCGAAGGCGGCGAUCUGGGCAGAUAUUGACGCUGAGGUGCGAAAGCGUGGGGAGCAAACAGG